AAGAAUAUGAGUGUAGGUAAGUGAAAACAACUCAGAACUCUCAGUGUAGCAAUGCUGUACUUUUGACGAUGAGGAGGGGGAGGUCUGAAUUCUUUCAUUGGCUUUGGAGCAUGGAAUUUGUUAACGGCUACCAUAGUCCGCUCAGAGUGCCCACAUUGUCAAGAUCAGCACGCUUUGUAAUUUUUCGGAACAAAAACGUCCUGUUUAUUUCUAAACGAAGGACUGCCUGUGAUUUACUAUGAAUUAAUGCAACUUUCCAUGAUUGCGUUCAAAGAUCUACAAUCUGAAACUGGGCGAGAUUUCAAGACCGAUGCUUGUUUGUUUCAGACGAGGGAGACGAAUGUGCUGUGCUUUUACUCCUUGGAGGACCUCCUCCUACCGUGCAGUGCAGAGAUCCGCUUUCCUGUAUCAAUGAGUGUUCACUGGAUCCAUGUUUCAAGUGCUCUGCGUUGGAAAGAGGGGAAUUUUAUCUCCACAGCCCACUGCAUCAGGUAAAUCUACAAAAAGAAAGAAUCACAAUUCAUGUGGAGGCAAACUCACGCACAAACUAUUUUGAGUAUGAUUAAUACGAGAUUUUACUCAUCCCACAAGAUAAUUUUACUAUGAAGAAUCUAAUGUACCAUUUUGUUUAGCAAUCUUCUUUAUUAAAAAACUCCUUCUGUGA